rnacentral:rRNA from 1 species
GCUUACACAUGCAAGUCGAGCGGGCGUAGCAAUACGUCAGCGGCAGACGGGUGAGUAACGCGUGGGAACGUACCUUUUGGUUCGGAACAACCCAGGGAAACUUGGGCUAAUACCGGAUAAGCCCUCACGGGGAAAGAUUUAUCGCCGAAAGAUCGGCCCGCGUCUGAUUAGCUAGUUGGUGAGGUAAUGGCCCACCAAGGCGACGAUCAGUAGCUGGUCUGAGAGGAUGAUCAGCCACAUUGGGACUGAGACACGGCCCAAACUCCUACGGGAGGCAGCAGUGGGGAAUAUUGGACAAUGGGCGCAAGCCUGAUCCAGCCAUGCCGCGUGAGUGAUGAAGGCCCUAGGGUUGUAAAGCUCUUUUGUGCGGGAAGAUAAUGACGGUACCGCAAGAAUAAGCCCCGGCUAACUUCGUGCCAGCAGCCGCGGUAAUACGAAGGGGGCUAGCGUUGCUCGGAAUCACUGGGCGUAAAGGGUGCGUANGCGGGUCUUUAAGUCAGGGGUGAAAUCCUGGAGCUCAACUCCAGAACUGCCUUUGAUACUG